rnacentral:rRNA from 1 species
GACGAACGCUGGCGGCGUGCUUAACACAUGCAAGUCGAACGGAAAGGCCCUGCUUUUGUGGGGUGCUCGAGUGGCGAACGGGUGAGUAACACGUGAGUAACCUGCCCUUGACUUUGGGAUAACUUCAGGAAACUGGGGCUAAUACCGGAUAGGAGCUCCUGCUGCAUGGUGGGGGUUGGAAAGUUUCGGCGGUUGGGGAUGGACUCGCGGCUUAUCAGCUUGUUGGUGGGGUAGUGGCUUACCAAGGCUUUGACGGGUAGCCGGCCUGAGAGGGUGACCGGGCACAUUGGGACUGAGAUACGGCCCAGACUCCUACGGGAGGCAGCAGUGGGGAAUAUUGCACAAUGGGCGGAAGCCUGAUGCAGCAACGCCGCGUGCGGGAUGACGGCCUUCGGGUUGUAAACCGCUGUCGCCUGUGACAAAGCGUGAGUGACGGUAAUGGGUAAAGAAGCACCGGCUAACUACGUG